rfam:Arabidopsis thaliana chromosome 5, complete sequence.
GAGAUGUGAUGAGUAACAAAUUGGUCCGUGUUUCUGAUUAACCGUGACUGAGAAUUUAUUAACCAAACUCUGAUCUC